AUACGGAGGAUGCAAGCGUUAUCCGGAUUUAUUGGGUUUAAAGGGUGCGUAGGCGGAUGAUUAAGCGUGAGGUGAAAUGCCACUGCUCAACAGUGGAACUGCCUCGCGAACUGGUUGUCUUGAAUGCUCCUGCCGUGGGAGGAAUGUGUGGUGUAGCGGUGAAAUGCAUAGAGAUCACACAGAACACCGAUUGAGAAGGCAUCUCACGAAGGGGUGAUUGACGCUGAGGCACGAAAGCGUGGGGAUCAAACAGGAGUAGAUACCCUGGUAGUCCACGCAGUAAACGAUGAUAACUAACCGCUGGGUCGUAGUGAUUCAGUGGCCAAGCGAAAGCGAUAAGUUAUCCACCUGGGGAGUACGACCGCAAGGUUGAAACUUAAAGGAAUUGACGGGG
rnacentral:rRNA from 1 species